UACGGGGGGAGCAAGCGUUGUUCGGAUUUACUGGGCGUAAAGGGCGCGUAGGCGGCCAGCACAAGUCAGUUGUGAAAUCUCCGGGCUUAACUCGGAAAGGUCAACUGAUACUGUGCGGCUAGAGUGCAGAAGGGGCAACUGGAAUUCUCGGUGUAGCGGUGAAAUGCGUAGAUAUCGAGAGGAACACCUGCGGCGAAGGCGGGUUGCUGGGCUGACACUGACGCUGAUGCGCGAAAGCUAGGGUAGCAAACAGG
rnacentral:rRNA from 1 species